UACGAAGGGGGCUAGCGUUGUUCGGAAUUACUGGGCGUAAAGCGCACGUAGGCGGAUUUGUAAGUCAGGGGUGAAAUCCCGGGGCUCAACCUCGGAACUGCCUUUGAUACUGCGAAUCUUGAGUCCGGAAGAGGUGAGUGGAAUUCCUAGUGUAGAGGUGAAAUUCGUAGAUAUUAGGAAGAACACCAGUGGCGAAGGCGGCUCACUGGUCCGGUACUGACGCUGAGGUGCGAAAGCGUGGGGAGCAAACAGG
rnacentral:rRNA from 1 species